AGGUGGCAGGCACUGCACUGGAGGCUAGUUGAGAGUUCGCAUCUCAAUCCAAGAGAGAAAUGGGAAUGACGAGGACUUUGAAACCUCAUAAACCUAUCCCUGAUGACACACCUCCUCCAACAAGGCCACACCUCCUAAUCCUUCUCAAACAGUUCCUCCAACUGGGAACCUACAACUGGGAAGUAGUUGAAUGCUUAGAGAGGCUAUUCUCAUUCAAACUACCACAUUCCACUCUCUGGCUCCCAUGUUAUAAUGCAAAAUGUAUUUAGUCCCAACUUCAAAAAUUCCCAUAGCCUUAUAUAGUGUCAACGUUGUUUAAAAGUCCAUAAGUCUCUUCUGAAACUCAAAGUAAUUGUAACCCCUACCACCACCAUUAAAAAAAGCAAAUUAUAAACUCCCAACAUACAAUGGCAAUAUAUUACCAUUAGAAAUGAGGGGAAGGGGGUAUAGUGAGGAAAUAAUGGACCCAACAAAACCAAAACCCAACAAGGCAAAGAUUUCUCUGUGCAUCCUAUCUGCCAGUAUUUGCCUUCAAGGGUCUGACUCAUAAGGAUCUGACUCCAAACCUUGUUGGUGCAUGUCUGAUGUCAAAUGGUUCUCCCCUUACAUCUUUGCUGACUGCAACACACUCCCCUCUCUUGGGCUGAUUAUACUCCCUGUCUGUGGCUCUUUGGUAGACAUUUCACAACUCUGGGAUCUCCACCAUCUUUGGGUCUCUAAUGCAUUUCAAUCUUCGCUUUCACAGCUUCACCAGAGGGUCUCUCCAGGCCUCCAUGUGGAGCCUCCCCUGCUACCAGCUUGGCCUCUGGCUUUUCUUAACUAAGAGGCAUCUUCCACAAUCCCUUUACAUAUUACUCUUGAUUCCAAAGGCAGAACCACAUGGCCAAAGCACCAAUGUUUUGCUGCCUUGAUGGGAGGGAACAUGCUUCUUCCUUGAAUUACAUUUGGAAACAUUUUGAUGUGUCGUUGCUUUUUUAGCAACAGGAAAUUCCUAAGGCCUUUCCUUUUCACAAGUUCCAGGAUGAAGUGAACAGGCUCUUGCCUUGAGAGCCGGGGCCCUUUACUGCAUUCUGCUUCCAGCCACUUCUUCUCGUCUCUUUGAGCAUAGGCCUUGGCUACAACUUUAAAUUCCCUGAUGCUCUUUCUCCUCGUCAAACUGUACAUUUUUAAAUUUCUUUUUGCCCUGCUUUCUCCUUUUCAUUAUAGACCUGCAUUAGAGUGAUCAUAAUGACAGAACAACAAAGUCAAUAAAUAGUAGGCUUCUUAAGAUCUCCUCUGACAACAAAAUUAUUCUAACAAAGGCAAAGAGAAGACACAAUCUUUGCCAAAAUAUCACGAGAAUGGUUUCCAGCCCAGUUACUAAUAGUAUUCCCCUCUGAUCUUGUGAGCUAGCCCUCCCAUGGCCCACGUUGUUCUCAGCACUUUGAUCUUCCAAGCUCCUACUAGGAUGACCCAUUAAGCCCCACUUAGAGCAUUCAACCACUUUGCUUCACAAAGUCCUAAUAGUCUUCCACAUUGCUCCAAAAGAAAAUGGCCGUGUCUAUCAUAGCAAUAGCCCACUUCUUAGUACCAACUUCUUAGUUAUUUUUCAAUUACUGUAAUAGAACAACAUGGCUAAAGCAGUUUAUAAAACAAAGCAUUUAACUUGAGUUACAGAGUCCACGGCCAUCAUGGCAGACAGCACAGCAGCAGCCAAGCAGGCCAUGUUGCUUGGAGCAGUAGCUGAGAGCUUACAUUUGAUUCUGUUAUGAGUCACAUUCAGUUUAAGGCUGGGAAGGAGAGACUGAGUCCAGAUACCAUUUGAUCUCAAGGUUUAUUCACUACAAUGACAAGAAUCAAUCCAUAUCACUCACACACACACACACACACACACACACACACACACACACACACACUACUUGACUCAGAAGCAAGCAUCAGAGAAGGUCACAGGCAAGUCUUGAGAUCUGUCAGUCACUUGCCUGUGUCUCAGGUGGCCGUUCAGAGAGCAAGACAGCAUGAUGGUCUUCAGUGCCGCAGGCAGCAUCAAGGCGUUCUGACUGCUGGCUGCGAGCCUCUGUUUUUAUUUGCUUACAAGGGCAUAGUCACACUCUAACCAAUCACAUGCUAGCAUUACAUCAUCUCAGCAUUACAUCAUGAGUUAUUACUUCAUUCUUACCUACUAUACACAGCUGACUGCUCAUCUAUGUAACAUCCAACUCUUAUCUGCUACAUGCACUCUAACUGUUCAUUGCUCUAACAUCCGACUGGGUCCCGAUCUUAUUUUUUGUUUACAUGCACUCUACAGAUUCACAAGUACAAGACAGAGAGAGAGAGAGAUAACUGGGAAUGGUGUGGGCUUUUGAAACCUCAAAGCUUGCCACCAGUGACAUACCUCUUCCAAAAAGGCUGUGCCCUCUAAUGCUUCCCAAAUAGCUCCAUCAACUGGGGACCACGUAUUUUAAUAUAUGUCUAUAGGGGCCGUUUUCAUUCAAACCACCACAGAGCCCUCUGAAGUCCCCACAUACAGUUUUAGGGGCUGGAAUAUUCUCUCAAUCUCUGCCAUUUAAGAACCAGAACAGUAGGCUUUCGUGUCCCCUUCUUGUCUCUGUUUUAAGUGGGUUCUGUUCUUGACUAGGAAAAUACAUGGUAUCUUUAAGAUGUAUCAGGACUGGUGAAGCAUUUGUGGCCCAGCCUAAAGUUUCCCAAUCCACUCAUCAUUAUUCUCCACCAGAAGUAAACAUGAGUUCUCCUUUAUGGGAGGAACCAACUAUACCUGGCAUUGGGAGAGGAUGUGUAUGCCUAGUAGGGGGAACAGUUUCAGGUACUAUUGGAAAAGGAUGAGGACUCAUUCCCAUUUUAAGGCAAGAGAAAGCAUUUUUGGAGUUGGCCAAAUACUCCUCAAAAGGUUAGGAUGAGGCUAGGCAUUAAGCCAGGAGAAAAAGAUAAUCAGGAUCCCAUAUCUACAAAGAAGAUGACCAUAUACUGUCCUGAUUAUAAGGAUGCCCAGUGCUCUACAAGUUGCUCUGUUAUGAUAGGAGCUUGGAGAGGGUACCUUGGUGCCUGCCAAUGUUCAAAUGAGGGAUGUGAUCUUGGGCCAUGGAGCUCUUGGGACCUUCCUAGUGAUUUCCUCUGCAAUUAAAACAGGUUUGGGCAAGGGUCUCUUAAUGGCCCUUUCCUUUUAGGGGGGAUCCCUUGCAUAAGCACCCCAGCUAGCCACAGAGAAAACAUUCCCCAGAACAGCCUUUUGGGAUGGCCCUCCCUUGGGUGACUCUCAUGAUGAUCUAUGGGUCUGGCUUCCUUUGGCUUUGUUUCGAGGUCUAAUUUGAAAUGAUGUGGUGCUUUGAAUCACUUGGUUCAAGCUCUUGCCUGAUUCACCCACCAGCUUUAUCUGUUUUCUGCAGAUAUGUGGGGCAGAUUGGGUCAGGCACUUGUCUCUCAGGGGAAACCUCCUUCAAAGAACCUGGGCCCUUUCGAGUAUGUUUCCUCAUUAUUUUCCUAAAUCUCUGGAGGAAAAUACUAGGACGUUUCUUCUUCUGUGGCAGACGGAAGCCAGCUGAGAGUGGCUGGACUUUAUCCUUUCUCCACCUUAGCAUCUCCAUUAUGCAGUCAAUGCUGCGUCCUACCAUGGGUUUCCACCUAAUCUGAAGUAUUCUAAGAGUACCACUUGUGCGUCAGUAGGGUUCACUACAUUAGAACCAUUGCUGUGGGAAAUAUGGACUCAUUGCUCAUGCAAGUUACCCUCCAGGGUUGGGCUCUGGUUCCUCCAAGUUAAUUCACAGAGGGCUUUUAGUUGCUGGAAGGCCUGUGAAUACAGGUCUGGAUAUUUAUCCAAGUCUCUAGUAUACUUUUUUUUACACUUCUUAGUUCUGAAAGCCCCAAGACAAAGUUGGGGUCUUCUACUCCUGUUCUAACUUCCUAUAAAGAGAGUAUCCUUGGUACCUCAAGGUGAGCUCUAGGAGGCCCUGGAUGAGCCUCUGAGGGUCCCUAAUAUAAGGAGGGGCAUUAUCUGUAAAGGAGAUGAAGUGGGGUAUGGGGGUUCAAGAGCAUUUAGAAGAAGAGGAGGGGAUGAAGGUAGAGAAUCAGGGAUGAUAAAGGGAAGGACCCUUGACAUUUAAAGAAGAAAGACCAUGGCCAGCAUAACAUGUCUGACUGGAAUUUCCUGACCAAUUCAGGGUGCUUUGAGGCCAGAGGUUAGCUGCAUAUAAAGCACCUCCAACCACUUUCUUUCCCUUUUGUACUUAGAGGGUGUUUUUUUUUUAAUAUGGAAUGCUUCAUGAAUUUGCCUGUCAUCCUUGCUCAGGGGCCAUGCUAACCUUCCUGGUAUCGUUCCGAUUUUAGUAUAUGUGCUGCAGAGGCGAGCACAGAGGGUGGUGUUAUAACGAAGGUUCUCCUGGAGUGGUAUGCUGCCUAGCUUUUAAGUCAACUUGACACUGUCUAGAGUCAUUUGGGAAGAGAGAACCUUAGCUGAGAAUUCUCCCACCAGACAGGUCUGAAGACAAGUCUGUGAUGUAUUUUUUAUUUAUUUAUAAUUGAUGUGGGAGGACCUCGUUCACUGUGAGCAGUGCCACCCCACUCCACCCCUCGGGGAUAUUGGUCUUGGAUGCUAUAGGAAGACAUACUGAACAAGCCCCGGGGUGUAAGUUAAUAAGAAGCACUGGCCUCUGCAUCAACUCCUGCAUCUAGGUCAUCUAGGUCCCUCUCCUGAUUUCCCUCAACAAUGGUGUGACCUGGCUUCCUCCAGUUGUUUAUGGUCAGGAUGUUUUACCACAGCACUAAAAAUCCUAAGAAAACAGGUGGCUGUUUCUCAUUGUUCCCCAGGGAGGCCUUGAAACCAGGCUCCUUGGCAAAACAAAACAAAACAAAACAAAACAACAACAACAGCAAACCCAACAGACUCCUUUGCUUGGGGUUUGGGGGAUCUAGUGCUUGCCAGGCAGCCCAGUAGAAAUCUCUAAAGAAUCCUGGAAUUCUCUUGUCCCAUUUGCAGUGACGGACAGAAGUCCUGGAUAGGUUGUCCUUUCCCCACACACAUUCUCUAGGGAGCCUAUCCGCAGUGGCAGCUCCGCUGACCACAGGGAACAGCGAGUGCAGGAAGAAGUCAAACCAAGUAGUAGGGGCUUCAUAGCUCUGCCCCUAUCUGCUUUCCUUUUCUAUCCAGGAGACUCCUGCCUGCAGGGCCUGCCUCCCUAGUCCCCUGGAGUUCUUCAAAUAUCUCUGAUAGUACCAUGCCUCAAAACAAAAGAUUUGUCAUUGGAUUGCCCCGUAAAGCAGCAGAAUCUCACUGCCCUUAAGUUUGUGAGAUUUUGUCUGAAAAAGAAAUGUUAGUUUGUGAAAUGAAAUGCUGUGCUGGUUCAUUUCAACUGUCAAGCUAUAAAUGUAUGGGAAGAGGGAGCCUGAGUUGAGGAAACAGCUCAUUGGCCUAUAGGCAAAUCUGUGGGGCCUGAUGCUGACUGAUGUGGGAGGGCCCAGCCUACUGUAGGCAAUGCCUGUGGUCCUGAGUUGUGUAAAAAAAAAAAAAAAAAAAAAAAAAAUGAACUAAGCCAGUAAAAAGCAUUUAUUCCUGGCCCUUGCGUCCGUCUCCAGGUUCCUGCCCUGACUUUCUACAUCAAUAGACUGUUAAGCUGUAAAGGUAAAACAAGCUUCUUCCUCUCCCAGGCUGUUUAUGUCAUGGUGUUUAUCAUAGCAGUAGAACGCAAGCUAGACCAGCCCUGGUGGCUCACGCCUUAAAUCCCAGUGUUGUUUACUUGUGUUAUCUCUUUUGUAAACUUAUAAGCUACAGGAAACCACCCCAGACCUACCUCUCAUGGACCAAAUAGACUCCAUCUAGAUAAGUACACCUGCCUAAAGUUUCCACUUACUACCUAUUCCAAAGGGUGGGAUUCCUCUGGGUUUCAAAUGUACAUCUAAAAUAAAGAAAAUUUUCUUUCUUCCAAAUGCACUUAAUCUUAUUCUCUACCUAUAAUAAAUAUACAUGUAUGUUUCAGCAUCUUUUCAAGUCCGGGUGCUUACUACACCCAGGACAACUCCAGAGAAGUGACCUCCAGAUGUUCAAUCUCCUCUCACAGACACAGAUGCUUCUAUUGGACCUGUUCCUUCUGACCUUUCCUCAGAUGGUUCCACAGACCCUGGACAACAAGGAAACGGCCAACUCUAAGACUGGACAAACAUCUCAUACCCGCUUUUCCAGGUUCCCUAGAGACACGUCGCCCCAUAGCAAGCAGGAAGUAGUCAGAGAUCACGGCGACCCUAUUCCUGCUCCACCAUCGCCUUUCUAAUUUUUCUUUUUUAAUUAAACCAAAACGAGGGAAUGUUGGCAUUCCAUCUAAGCCCCACACCUACAGUUACCUGGCAACAGCCAAGUAUAUCUGACUCACUAUAAAAGGGGCUGCUUGCCUCCUCUUUAUUCUCUUGCCCUCUUGCCCUCUUGCCCUCUUCACCUUUGUCCCGUCUGUCCCCAUUCCCCACACCCCACUUCUCUCCAUGUGCUCAUGGACGGCCUUUACUCCUCUCCUCUUCUACUCUUCUUCUCUCAUUAAACCUUUCCACAAGGAGCCAUGCUGGCUUGGUGUGGUUUGUCUGGACGAGAGCCAAGAUUUCUACCCCAACACCCAGCACUUGGAAGGCAGAGGCAGGAAGGUCUUUAAAUUUGAGGCCAGCCAGGACAGUCAUGGCUACAGAGAAACCUUGAUCCUCUAGAAGAGCAGUCAGUGCCCUUAACUACUGGGCCUUCUCUUUAGUCCCAACUGCAGUUUUAACCAGUCUUUGCUGACACAGCUUCUCUUCUGGAAUUCUUGUCCAUACUAAGUUACCAAGUAAGUAACUUUUUGUCAGCUGUCUUCUGUCUGCUUGACAGCAUUCAGCACAUGAUACGUGAUUUAUUGUUUAAUAUGUAUAUCUUAUGCUUUAGAAAUUAAUAUGGAUUAUAAGACUUAUGAUCAGUCCUAAGCUCAUAAACCAUUUGCCAGGUGGGCAGUGUGUACGCCUGUAAUCGCAGCAUGAGGGAAACAGAAGCAGGUGGAUCUCCGAGCUCAAGGCCAGUCUGGUCUACUGCAUGAUUUCCAGAACAGCUAUGGCUACACAGAGAAACCCUGUCUCAAAAAACCAAAGAAGAGAAAGGGAAGAGGAGGACAGGAGAGGAGGAGGAAAAAAAGAAGAAAGCAAGCCAGACAAGCAUCCUUAUCCCCAGGGACCAUCAGACAUAAUGGGUCCCUGGUAAAUCCGGUGAGUAGAUGACAGAACACAGUCAGCUACACUAAGAACAAUAUAUGCCUCAAGCCUUAAUUCCUUUGGUAUUGAGAAGUAGUAAGGUUGGUAAGGCAGGUAAUGGUCGAACGAAUACACUGAGAGAAAAUGGGACGUCCGGGUCUGGACAGGGUCCUAGAGAAUGAUGAGCUGGAGGGGGUACAUCUCUCUUGGAUCUUUCCUGCCCAGGCUUCCAUUAAAAAAGACACCCAAAUGUUCAGUUGGACUGGGCAUUUUAGGGUUAGGAUAAAAGUUCUCCGUCUGGAGGGUGGGUCGGUGGCCUUUUCCUUAGUGAUGGCACCAGUGACUCUUAGCUUAGGGGUGGUGGUAUGACCUUGUCCCUGGUUUAAAUCUAUUCAGCUGUAUGAGGUCAGAGUUUUUAAUCUCCAAAGAUUAGUCCCUUACUCCUCCUAGUCUCCAAAGAAAAUAAAGGGGGCAGAUUGGGGGAGUCAGCUGCACUGACUGUGAUGGAGGAAGUGUCCCCUCCUUUUGUGAGGUUGCUUGGGAUACCAGAUGAUCAUGGUCAUCUCUGAAUCCUGUUGGAGUUUUCAGUCAGGUAUACAAACCUUGAGGCCUUCAAAUCCCGAAAGGAGAGUAAACUAAUACGGUAAUGGCAAUGGCUGCCACCAAAUUGUCACCUGACCACCGGGUGUGUGCCUCAAGAGACCAACAAGGCAGAGAAUUCUGGGCUGUCCCCAGGACUUUAGAUCAGCUCACUGCUUGGCGAUACCCUCUCCACUUGCUGUCUGUCCACCCAGGCCUCACCCUGUGCUUUGCUCCUUGUUUCUAUAGCCCUGAACCUCUAAACUCUGCUGGGCCUGCGCCUGCCUCUCUGCUCUGAGUUCUCAGUAGCUCUUCAACAGGGUUCCUAACAUCUUUCCUAACCCACCAGAGAGACUGUGGAGAACUGUCUUAGGCUUAAAGACCAUCUUUUAAGGUUCAUUCCUGUUUAUGAUUAAGCCUCUGUUUCUCCAGGGUCAGGCUAGGCUGCACCUGUAACCAUACUAAGGUCACUGCCAAUGGUUCUUUCUGGUCUACUUGUUGCAGGAACCACAGUCAUGUCUUUGUUUCAGGAUGUAACAUCCCCCUUGCAACUAUAUCUUUGUUUCGAAGUGAUUGUUAAGGCUGCCCUGUUACUACAGCCUUGCGAUCACGUGUUGCUUUGUUUCAGGAGGUCAUUAUGGCUAACUUGUUCUGCUUCUGUUCUGUUCCUGUAACCCAGUACCUGUUUUGCCCACCAAAUCCCCUCCUUGGAAAUCCCCUACCCCUGAGCUAUAAAUAACCUAGUCUUCCGAAUCACGUCCAAGGCUGAUCUCUCAAACCCUGCCUUAGGGAGAGGCAGCCCGUGUACAUGAAUUUAAGUUUUGCUUGAAUUAAUUGCUUGCUUGCUCUAGUUUGCCCACGAUAGUUUGGGUCAGUGUUCUUUCUCCUCCCAUCCUUGGGAUUAGCAACUUCACCUCCAUCAGCUCUCUUCCUCUGCUCCAGCAAGGCACCCUUAAACUCCUUAAACAUUGCUGCAGGCUUUAUAAAACCUUAUCAUUCUGUAGUGUGUGUGUGUGUGUGUGUGUGUGUGUGUGUGUGUGUGUGUGUGUUUCACAGUCUGAUGUGUGACCUGAGAAUUAAUGAGAAUAAAAGAAUCUGUAAAGAAAAUCAGGACUACUUGGCAAAUUACAGUCAACAAAGCAAACGUAACUUGUAAAUUUACUGUCAUUCAAUAAAAUUCUACUUUGUUGACCAAUAUAAAUGAGUCCAUCUAUAUUUCUAGUAAAACAGGUUCGUGGUAAGAGCCUGUGGAACACUCAAGUCAGACUGGAGCCACUCAGUACACCAGAACCCCAGAGAGUCUACAAGAGUAGCCUGAGCUAGCCCUAACCAUUAUAUUAGGCAGGAAAGCUCCCCUUUAUGGCCUCCAGCUCCAUUUCUGGAUGAGGAUGUGGGCACAACCCUGAUCAGGCCCAUGGACAGAGCUAUACAGUUCCCGCCAUGACAUAGCAUUUUCUGUCAGCCAUGGGGAAAAUGAUAGUAGUGGAAUUAAUUUUACAUAUUCCAAUAUGUCCAAAAUAUCUCCCCAUGUAUGAAGUAUUUCAGAGAUUGACCAGAAGAGCCCUGUGGCCAGUGAGAGCAGAGGAGCUGUCUGGAAUGUUGCUGACCUACCUGCCCUGGGGCUCUUGUCUAAGGAGGAUGGGCUUGGCCCUGGGAACUGAGCUUGGUGAGGCUCAGGAUUCCAAGUAGAAGAAAACUUCCUCCAGUUUGUGGUCCCUAGAGCCUUUCACUGGCCAAGCUGGGGGAGAAGGCAGAGGAAGGAAGAUUGCAGCCUUAAAGCCCAGCCCUGAGGCUCUCCUUCAGCCUACACAGCUCUCUGGGACUCCAGGCAAGGAGUGUCCUAGCUCCCUGUGGGCGGAAGCAGUGACAAGCGUAGGUUGCCGUUAGUGGGAGAACUGCUCCAGGCAUAUACAGAGUGCUGGCUGGCUGUCCAGGUCCCCUACACUCACCUGCAGGUGGCCACAGACUGUAGGAGGGGGAGGGGGCAAGAGCAAACACUGAGAUAGGGAACACAAGCAGGAAGAAGGGGCUCCACACUGAGUCACAGGAACCACCCUUAUGUCCCCAAGUCAGGUCAUGUGCAGCUCCCACUGCUUUGCUGGUCAAUUGCUGAGUUCAAGGGCAGUCAAAGGGCAGAUAGCACAGGAGCUGAGGUGUCGGUGACCAGGACCCAUGAUGGUGAGGAGUGUCUGAGAGGGAAGGUGACAGUGAGGUCUUGAGUCCUGGCUGGGGAUGAUGCAUAGAUGCAUAUGUGACAAAAAGAGAUUUCUAAUCCCUCCCCUCCCCUGCUCACCUCUCCCUCCCUUCCCAUCCCCCUGAUUCCAAUCACAGAUCUCCCAGGGACCUCUCUUCAACCCACAGCUCCCAAUAUAUGUAUAAAUGCUCCCCCCGCCACACACACACACACACACACACACACACACACACACACACACACACCCCUCCUCAGGUCUGAGGCCUAUCCAACAGGGAUAUUGUGGCUACCCUAGCUUGGUUCCCAUAGCAAUGCCUUAGAGGAUGGGGGAGGGGCAGAGGUGGAAACACAGAGAAGGUAAAGAGCAACAGCUUCAAAACUGAGCAAGCGGGAGCAGCCAAGAGAUCAGCUCCCACCACUAAGGCUGCAGUCUGAUGAGCAGCUCUGUCCGUCCUGGCUCCAUCCUAUUGCAGACUAAUGCGCUGCUCUUGCAGACCCAGGCCCCAGGUCCAGGGCACGUGACCAGUCUCUGACAUCCCAGCUGUAUCCUGAGGCACACUCUGAGUAGGACACAGGUGGUGUCCCUUGCUGUCCCGUGUGUUCCAGAGCAGCCACAGCCAGCACUUGCCAACAUCUCCCCAAGGCAGUCCACAGAGUACUGUCCACACUCGUGAUGCCUCUCUGACCUGUAUGUCAGCCCAUCAGCAGCAGCCACAGGAGCUGACACCAUCAUGGCCUUAUUGACAGCUCUCCCUCUGCCUUCUCUGGCACUCUGGCAUCUUAUGAGGACACUAGACCCACCUUCACCUCAAGAUCUACAACAAGGCUGCUUGCACAUUGCCCAUGCUGUGUAAUCUGACAAGGUGAUGGCAUUCAGAAUCUACUCUGCCCAUCACAGGAGUGACUGGUGGAUCAGAGACCUUGCCAAGUGGAGGAAGGGCAGGGGUCACAGUGGCAAGGUCAUGUACCAUAGGUAACCAUGACCAUGGGUUUGGUUGAUUGAUCUGGCCCUCAAUGCGAAGGUAGGCUCAGGUCAGAAUUCUGCUGCAGGCUGUGACAAUGAGGGCAUGCCUGGGCUACAGAAAGGCCUCCUGGAAGAAGGAGUCCACACCAAAUCUUCGGAGAAUACAGGAUCGGGCAGAGGACUGGGAGAGGUUAGUAAAGCAAGGUGUGUCUGAGCACAGCUGCUGGCGUCCCAGCCCAAAAUCCCAGGUACCGGCAGAAGAACCAUCCCAGCUGCCUCCCAGAAAGGGUAAUAAGAGCUAGAGCAAGGGAGACCGACAAGGCAGACAUGAGGGAUGCUCUUGUGGCUCCAAGCAGAAACUAGGGCCACAGGUAGGAGCUGGCUUUCAGCAAAUCACUUCCCUUCUGUAGCUAGGAACCUUGCUUCAUCCCAGGUCGUCCUCCCACACAUGCCUACAGGCAGCCCAAGGGAGACACACAGAAUCCCCAGCCCACACCCCAUCUGCUCUUAUAGGGAAGCCCUGUGUGGCAAGGGGUCUAGAGAGAGUAAAUCCCAAUGAGCUGCCUCACAGGUUCUGGGUGGAGUGAGAGCCACAAGACUUCUGGCCGUGGAUAGGACUCCAAGACAUGCCAAGGUCUGGGCGAACCACCAGCCUCUUGUUCCGUUCCGGAAUCAGUGUUUGGCUCCUAGAGGCCAAGUCUGUUUCUUUCCAAGUGGCUGUGGAAAGAAAUGGGGACCAACCACCUUCCAAAGCUGCUAACCUCCCUUGCAAGGUGUUAAAACCUCUUGGGAGGCUCCGCUGGCCUGUCCCCUGUGGGGGCAAUGUAGAGGGGACAGAAUGGAGCCUCUGGGAGGAGGGCAAAGAUAAAAAUGGAAGAGGUUCUUGACCACUGUGACUGUCCCCGACUCUGGCUCACAAGGGCAUCAUCCUCUCGUCCCCUAGUCACCCUGAGUGUUAAGAGGCAAACUGGCAUUUUCCAGAGGGACUGAACCAGGUGCCAGGACCAAGCAGACAAGAUAAUUACAGGGGCUAACAGUGACUAAAAAUAGCCUCCUUCAGAGCUGUGCUCCUGGCGGGGAAGACACCAGGCUGCCUUAAGCCUGGGCUUGGGCUCUGAGUUCUGUAGGGAGAUUCGCCUGUAGCCCACUCCACUCCUGAGAGCUGUUGGACAGGGAAGGUAGUGGUCCUGGGGCUGAUGUACAGAAGAUUCUGUCCUCAGAGAACAGCAGACAAAUGCCAAGACAGAAGGGAUGUCCAUGGCGCAGUCCAGAAACCUUGUGGGGUAGCAGGUACCUGUGGAGAAGUAUGAGGGGAUGUGCUAGAAUUUACAGACACAGAUCCCCCACCAUCCCUGCCUGCCAUCAUCCUAGCAGAGACACACACCUUUGAGGAAGGGAAGUCAUAUCCUCCUCCGGUAGUUGUUGUCCUGGGGCAAUGGCUGCCAGGCAAAACUUGCCCUCCCUUGGUACUUAUGUAUCCCACUGGGGUCCCAAUGCAUUUGGCACAGGGUCAGGGCUUAGCAUGGGCUUGGAGAAGGAUACAGAACCAGCCACUGGAAGGACAUAUCCACCUGCCACCUGCCCCUGCCUUCUCAGGGCUGUGCCUCUGGAAAGGGGACCAGUAGAAGCAAAGGCACACUGUUGGUGAGACCCUAGGCAGACAGAUGACCACAAAGCAAUUGGUGAGAACCAGGCAGGAUCGGGGGGUGGCCCCCCUUGUGGAAUGAGGGUGGUGUCUACCCAACCUAUGUGAGGGCAGAGGACCUGGGAGGCUGGAGAGAAGUUAGGAAAAGAAGGCGGGGAGAUGGAAGUAAAGGGAGACAAAUAGGGAGAGACAGAACCAGGGAAAGACACACCGUAGGAGAAAGGCAGGAACGGACACAGAGAUGGAGACAGAAGCAGAGACAAGGAGAAGCAGGGAGACAAGGGAGACAGACAAUGGGGAGACAGAAAGGAAUCAGAAAUGGAGACAGGCACAGGCAGAGGGAGACGGGGAGAUAAGAGACGGAGAUACGCAGGGAACAGACACGGGGACAGGAGACAGAGCAGGGAGGAGGAAGGCACAGGAGGGACACUGGAAAUGUGCGAUGGUGGGAGCCAGACUGGUCCCCAGUCCUUUAUCCAAGCCUCCCUACUGUCUGAAUCCUGGAGAAAGGGAGACUACCUAGGGGCAUGGUGGACAAGCUGAGGAAAGACAGACUCGGGGAGACUGUGUGGUUACCUGCUGACUCUUGGGCCUCAGAGGCUGGCAGACUGACAUUCAUGCUGGAAGGUCUGUUCUUGCCUAGAGGACAGUGUUAUGUCUGAGUGGCGCCGUAGAGCUCUGCAUUUGCUGCAGUCUAGUGCAGAUGGGAGUAUGGGCAUGGAAGGGCCCAGAAGAAAAAAAAAAAGGCAAGUUCAAGUUCAGCACAAUGAGCUGUGAUCAAAGAGGUUGGAGCCGCCGACUUCUGCUGAGUGUAACCAGGAUAAUUACAACAGUGGUCACCAGGCCUUGGGGGUGGGGGAGAUUGGCAUCUACAGACUGUAAGGGCAGCAGCCAUGGUCACACAGGUGAUAGACUGUUGCCCACACUCAGAGAGACUCCUGAAAAACAUCUGAUGAGAGGAGAGGUUGGCUGCCGGGUCGUAGUCCUGGGGUCCUUUGUAGUCCAAGGUGAAACUUCAUCUCCUGUGGUUGCUGACUUCCUGUAUCACAGUUCAGCAAAGAUCCUGCACCACCUGCACAGGUGCAAUUCUUUGGGGGGGGGGUGCAUAAACAAUUGCUCAGUUCAUGUCUCCUAACCUGCUGGCAGAUGGCGGCUGUUUACUGUGUCAGCAAGAUGUGGUUCCCGCCCUUGAAAUGGAGACACACAGUCUGAAGCCACUGUUCUUACCCAAGCAGCGAUCAGAAGCAGAACUCCCAGGACAUCUGUGACUGUGGAGCAUCCUGCCGGAGUGCCGAGUGGGGAGGCCUCGGAAGCAGACUACGAAGCUCUCACGAGCUGGGAACUUGGCAAGAGCAAGCACAACUAUGUAGAUGCCCACGAUGGUGUAGGCCAGCCAAUUUCUAGAAUGGCCAUGAUUCCUCUUCCUAUACUCAGGCCAGCCUCUCCCUAUCAAGGUCUCUGAGGUGGCUUGGGUUUCCUGUAGUAGUCUAAGCAGGCGUCGUUCAGGAGUAGGCCCUGAAGGGCAGUUGUUUUAGACUGUUACGGGGCAGAAGGGAAAAGAGCUUUGAGGUAGGCCCUGAGGAAGGAUAGACAGGAGGACGCUUGCAGCUCACCUGCUGACUCCUUAUCUCUCUUUGGCCUCAGUUUCCCCACCCACAUCAGGAGGAGACAUUUUACUCUGGGACUCACUCCAUAGACAAGUGGGAACUUCUGGACAGGGGAUCCUGUCCUACAUCUGAUUCCUCCACGUAGGGGCCCCCAUACCCAAGUGGGUGCCUGGCCUCCUUCCCAGAGGAAACGGGCUAAUGUAUGCCACCCAGUGCCUUCAAAACUAGGGCAUAAGCUGAGAGCUCUGACAGGCGUGGGAGAGCCCCUCAGGAGGAGAUGGAGGCAAACCGGAAGAGAGGCGGCAGCUGAGAAUCCUCAUCUCCACCCUGUGGGAGUGAGAGGUCAGUGUGUGACCUGUGAGAGGUAGAAAGUAGCUGGGAGUCAUGAGAAGCCCAUGGACAGGCUCCAUAGAUGGCUGGAAUCAAGGGUCAGUGGGAGCAAGAGACAGUUUCCCCCAGGUAGAGCCCUGCCUUUGGUCCAUCUAAACAGUUCCCUGACCCUCCGCAGAUCCAUUAGGAACAUUAGAGUCCCUGCUUCUUGCUCUGUUCUGCACAGGAGGAAAGUCAUGCUUACAAAGGACACAUACUGGGAGGCUUGGGAGGUGGAGUCAGACGAUGAGAGUUCAACUGCAAGGACCCACAAGCUCAUAGUUCUGAAUGGGUCUUAGCUAACAUCAGAAGCCGGACUGUAGCUGACCACAUUGCGAUUUGAGCAAGCCCUACCCAGGCCUCAUGCAGACAUGUGGACCUGAGGGAGGAGCCCCUGGUGGGGUAACUGCAGUAAGUUCACACACAUGUCCUCACUGAAGGGGGUAUGUGGGCACGAGAUCACCAUGUGGGCAGUGGCAAGAAGCGCCUUGCCCUUGAGAAAGGUGUGUCUCCAUGGUGAAGGGACAGGAGAUACUCUGUGUGGGAAGACGCUGGCCUGGGAGAGGAAUGGUACCAGUCGAGAUUCAACGCUUCCUGUCUUGGGUUGUCUAAGCUUUGACAGGACCACCCUGGACAGGGCCACCUGCAGGGAGGAAUCCAUAUAGCAAGAAUGCUAAGCCUUGACCCCUGGGGACAGUCCCAACACAGAGGGCACAUUGGAAUUAACUCCUUGAGGCGUGAGGAAACCUUUGACCACUGGCUAUGACACCUCCCAAGACACUGAGUGUCUGCCACAUCCCUCAUGGUGGUAGGUAGACGCAAGCCGGGAGAGCUGUCCUCCCGGGCAGGCUCCAAAAGGCUGGAGCCUUAGGUCCUGCAUUGGGUCCCAGUCACAGGCCAGGGCAGUGACAUAGGGUACUCCUCCCUGUUCUUUGUGGCUUUGCUGAUCUCAGCGUGUGUCCACGGGAUGGGGAAGGGGGAAUGGGCAAGACAAGUCCAGAUUUGGCUAGUGCUGGCCAUUUUUUCCGCAGUUCCUUUUCAUUCACCCUCCAAGUCCAAGGCAGACGGAACUUGCCUGAGCUGGGGAAUAAAUAUGGCUGUUGAAACUCGAGGGAAGAAAUAAAACACACUUUAUGUGUUGGGUGGGGUGGGGGAUGAGGUGACAUAGGAACCUACUCUCUGUUGACUAUGGAAACAGAUGUGGAGAUCAUCCUGAGUGACUGAGAUGGAACCUCUUCUUCCCCGGUGGAGGAGUGGGCCUCCUGAAGCCCUGAGGGUGGCUGGUCACAGUGGCACGGCUGCUAAUCCUCUUCCACUGGCUUGUAGCUGUCCUUGAUGGCCAGCCCAGGGGGAUUUGAAGGGCACAUAUUCAGUCUGAGGUGGGGCUGUCUGUGUCUUUGUAGCCUCUGCUUCUCUUCACUGUCCCUGACCCUGAGUCAUCUUCAUGGCUGUGGGUUCCCUGAGCCUUGUUGAAUGAACCACACCAACUAUCCUUUCCCCUUGGAGCCUCCUUGUGCUUUCUGCCCUGGGCUCAUUCUGAGGGAAGGAACAGUUGCUGUGACCUGGCAGGGUGGGCUGAGAGGCUACAGCAGAGUAAAGACAGAAGGAAAGCUGUUGGCCCAGACAAAUGGUCAGCCUGGAGACCUAGCCUUCACCAGUCCUCUUCCCUCUCCCACUCAGGCUACUUGAUCCUCCCUUCUUUCCUUCCCACUUCGUCCUCUAGGGUGCCCACUCACAAAACUGUGUGACCACACAUCUUAUCUUUUACUAACACCAAAACCCCACUCUACCUACUGAGAGGAAUCCCAAGACUCAGUGUGGCCUUGAAAAGGGAAGUGGAAACUGGGCCAGGCCACUGAAACUGAUCCUUCGAUGUGGUCUGUACCUCAAGGGCAGGAUGUAAGUCACCUGGAUUCCAGGCUCCUUGCUCCAUGGAGAAAGGCACAGCCCGGCAGGUAGCCAGGACUAGGUGAGACAGGGUCUGAUGUGUCUUACCCCUCUUGGGAUGUCUUCCUGACUCCUCCCUUCCUGGGACUCAGCCUUGAGUCCAGGGGGGCUGGGCUCAUUCUCUCCAUGCCCAGGGCAUGGCUAUUUUGCCUUCCUUGUCCAUUUGAAAAGGUGUCCACCUCUCCCACACUCAACAUCUACAGAAGGCAGAGCCCCCAUACCUGCCUCUCUGUCCUGAGUCGUUUCACAGUUGUGUCUUACCUUUUGUCCCCUCAUGGAGUGAGGCAGACUUGAUAUCAGAGAAAGGUCAUGACCCUGGGAUGUGACCAGAGUCCCGUCUGAACUAGAUGUCCAGGCAGAGCCCAAGGGGCACCCUGGAACCCCUGUCACUGUCCAGCUCAGCUCCAAAUCCUCUCAAGCACAGCCCUCUCCCUCAGUUCCCCUGCCCUACUGCGAGAAGACGAGAAGACAUCGCAGACCAUGACACCCAGUGUGUAGGUAUAUCCAGGGCUGGUGGAGCACACUGUGGGGGAGGGGCGAUCAGGAAUUGAGAGUGGGCUGGGCCCUUGCAUCUCUUGCGGCACCCCAUGUGGGGACCUUUGCCUGUUUCCUUGGGUACAGAAACACAGAGCCAUGUCUCAAAUCGCCGGUGUUCAGGAAGUCUGUCAAUCACAGGGGCGACGUAUUAAAAGGAAAGCCGUGUCUGGUCCCAGGUUCCUGAGCACAACAGUGUGGGAGCAAGAGAAAGCGGCCUUUCUCUGCAGUGGCACCCGCCUCUGCCUCUGCCACUAUCCCUCCCUCUUGUCAGCAGUUUCAGUCUGUAAAAGAAGCAGAGGAGAGAAAGGGCAGAGGCACUUUUCAUCUUCCCUGGCGCUUGUGGCUCCUGCUGGCCCUGCGGAGGGUGACGACACUUCCUGACAGCAGGUGGCUCCCUCCUUUCCAUCUGUAACCUGCCUCCCAGGCCUCUGCUCUGGGUCUGGAAGCCUUUAGCCUCCCCUGGGCAGGUGCCGUGCUGCUUCCAGGCACCAGCAGGUGCAGCUCUUCCCAGGCUGGGCUGGGCCUGGCUGAUGCCAUUCCUGGCUAGCCCUGCUGGCCUGCCCAGGGCUCCAGGAAGCAGAACUCCAGCAGAGGGGGCAGUGGGCGUCUGCAGACGACUAUGGCACUAUUGGUUCUAUUGAUGACCUAUUGAGCCCCUGGGCCAUUCAAACACACCCUAAUUCUGUGGUGCUCCAAAGGUAUAGUGAAAUUUGGGUUUAAAUAAGAGUGUGUGUGUGUGUGUGUGUGUGUGUGUGUGUGUGUGUGUAUGUGUGUGUGUGGAGAGGGGUCAUAUGAAAAGCCAAGGCAAAGCUGAGGCCUCCAGAUUAGUUAAAAGUGCUCUCCCAUGAACACUAGAGCUCCAGCACCAUGGACUUCAUUAGACCAGGAUGGUGUGGCCUAGCAAUCAAAUAGUCCCUUUUCACCAUUCUCUGUCUCCUGCUAGCCCUGAGGUCUGGCUGGCAAGGGGUUUUGUGUACUCUUGGUAAUUCACCUCUCCUUCCUCUCAGUAACCUGGCACUGCCCACAGAGGUGACCUUGAACAGGUUAUUUCCAAGUCCUCGAACCCAGGGCUGGAUACAGUUAAGAGAUGGUUUCUCAUUUUGUAGAUAAGAAAACUGAAGGCCAGGAAGAUGGCGUACACCAUCCUUUAGACAGGACUUUGACCCUGUCUCCAGAUCCCAGGCUGGGCUAGAUGAGCCCAGUUCUGCAGAAGGGAUCCCUUAUAGUAUACCUUGCACCCAGCAUGGGGACUCAAGGGCCUGUCCAGGCCUAGAGGCCACGGGGUUGGCCUUUAAGGCUGAGGGUUCCAGACUUAGAGAAGUUUUCCUGGGGUCCAUAGGCGGGGUUCCUGUGCCUCCUUGAGCAGUCACCCCCAGGUGAGCAGCCUCCUCUGAGGUCCUGCUUCAGCCCAUCCCACACCUUAGAGAAAUGGCACAUGCUCCAAUAAAUUUCAUAGUUUUAUUAACAAAAUCAUAUAUAUGUAUAUAUAUAUAUAUGUCUGUCUUUGAGGUAAGAUGGUGUGGGCAGAUGGCCUGGCUGGAUAUUGAAGGCUUGGUGAAAAUAGGGGAUAGCCACACUCUUGAGAUCUCCAGGGUCUCCCUAGUCCCCAGAGCUAGCCAAAUUAGUAUGGGUCAUGGUUUAUGUGCAAAAAUAAACCUGUGGGGGCUGGCAGGGGCACAGGGUGGGGGAUCUGUCAGAACAGCAGUGGAACUGGUCUCAGAACACCAAUGGACCAGGCAGAUGGAGGAACCUCAACAUGGCCUACUCAGACUGCAGACACGAGCAGUUACCAACACGAGGUGGUUGGUGCUGGGGUGUGGAUGAGGUUCCAGCUGGGCAAUCACCCGGCAGGUCAGGGAAGUGCCUGGAACAGCCUAGGAGCCAAGGCAUGGGGUCUCCUGGGACUGGACUUGACCGGCAGGCAGGGCACAGCAGGUAAGGUCAGGCUGGGCUAGGGCCCGAACCUUAAGGCUCCUGCAAGGUUCUGGCGGGGGCCAAAGGCCACGCAGCGAACUGGGCUCUGUGCUGAGAGGGCACAGACCCUGCUCAAGCUGCAGUGGCUUGUGGCAGGCAGCUGGUGAGUGGCCAGCGGAGCGGGCAUUCGUGGCAGACCCGGGGUUUCACGCUGGCUUGUCUUCACCUUCAGCUCUGAGGCUGAGCUGGGUGCUGCCCUCUGCCAGGCACCUCCUCUUUGUAAUCCUAUUUUCUCUGCCUUGAAAGUGUCUUGGAACCUCUGUGCAGGCAGCUUCAAGAGAGGAGGGGACGGUGCUGGUGCUGGGGUGGUACCCCUUCCAG